AAAAAUCUUAGAAGCAAGAGAAAAUCACAACAAUAGCAAAUAAUGAGAAAAUUGAUACAUUACAACCUACAGUCUGGAAAUGAGUAGGAACACGUCGCUCAGGCGUGACACCCUUAGCAUGCUCCCAAUCAUUAUAAAGAAAGCACCAACGUUUCUUCCAUGUGCAGUACGACUUUCUCUUAUCAAAGACAACACGCUCUCUCUCACUCUGACAUGCACAUUCAGCAUAACCC
rnacentral:lncRNA from 1 species